AGAGUUUGAUCCUGGCUCAGAUUGAACGCUGGCGGCAGGCCUAACACAUGCAAGUCGAACGGUAGCACAGAGGAGCUUGCUCCUUGGGUGACGAGUGGCGGACGGGUGAGUAAUGUCUGGGAAACUGCCCGAUGGAGGGGGAUAACUACUGGAAACGGUAGCUAAUACCGCAUAAUGUCGCAAGACCAAAGAGGGGGACCUUCGGGCCUCUUGCCAUCGGAUGUGCCCAGAUGGGAUUAGUUAGUAGGUGGAGUAACGGCUCACCUAGGCGACGAUCCCUAGCUGGUCUGAGAGGAUGACCAGCCACACUGGAACUGAGACACGGUCCAGACUCCUACGGGAGGCAGCAGUGGGGAAUAUUGCACAAUGGGCGCAAGCCUGAUGCAGCCAUGCCGCGUGUAUGAAGAAGGCCUUCGGGUUGUAAAGUACUUUCAGCGGGGAGGAAGGCGAUACGGUUAAUAACCGUGUCGAUUGACGUUACCCGCAGAAGAAGCACCGGCUAACUCCGUGCCAGCAGCCGCGGUAAUACGGAGGGUGCAAGCGUUAAUCGGAAUUACUGGGCGUAAGGCGCACGCAGGCGGUUGGAUAAGUUAGAUGUGAAAGCCCCGGGCUCAACCUGGGAAUUGCAUUUAAAACUGUCCAGCUAGAGUCUUGUAGAGGGGGGUAGAAUUCCAGGUGUAGCGGUGAAAUGCGUAGAGAUCUGGAGGAAUACCGGUGGCGAAGGCGGCCCCCUGGACAAAGACUGACGC
rnacentral:rRNA from 1 species